rnacentral:rRNA from 1 species
UACGUAGGGUGCGAGCGUUGUCCGGAAUUAUUGGGCGUAAAGAGCUUGUAGGCGGUCUGUCGCGUCUGCUGUGAAAAUCCGGGGCUCAACCCCGGACUUGCAGUGGGUACGGGCAGACUAGAGUGUGGUAGGGGGGGACUGGAAUUCCUGGUGUAGCGGUGAAAUGCGCAGAUAUCAGGAGGAACACCGAUGGCGAAGGCAGGUCUCUGGGCCACUACUGACGCUGAGAAGCGAAAGCAUGGGGAGCGAACAGG